rnacentral:rRNA from 1 species
UACGGGGGGGGCAAGCGUUGUUCGGAAUUACUGGGCGUAAAGGGCUUGUAGGUGGCCAACUAAGUCAGACGUGAAAUCCCUCGGCUUAACCGGGGAACUGCGUCUGAUACUGGAUGGCUCGAGUGUGGGAGAGGGAUGCGGAAUUCCAGGUGUAGCGGUGAAAUGCGUAGAUAUCCGGAGGAACACCGGUGGCGAAGGCGGCUUCCUGGACCGACACUGACGCUGAGGCGCGAAAGCUAGGGGAGCAAACGGG